GCUUUUCCGGACCCCACGUCCACAGGCAGGUGCAUCUGGUGAAGCUUUCGGCCACAGUUGGAGUGCAGUGGUGCCAUCUCCCUUCACGACGAACUCCACCCCCCAUCCCCAGGAUCAAGCGAUCCUCCCACCUCAGCCUCCCAGAGCUGGGACCACAGAUGCGUGCCACCACGCCCAGGUCGUUGCUGUCCACAUCAUUGCUGUCUGGGGUCCCUGCAGGAGGAAAGAUGCUCAGCCUGCCCGAAGGUUGCAGAAGGUGCUUUGGGACCAGGCCUGGGCCUGGGCACGGGCUGUCAGGAAAUCCUCUCUGUCCCAAAUGCAGAAUACAUUCCAGAUCCAACCCCUUGUCAUCACCUUCAAUGCCACUGGCGUGGUCUAGGCACCACUCUCCCCUGGAAGGGGAGUCGGCUAUGCCUCUCGGCCUCAACACUGACCCUCCUACAGUCUGUUCUCAACACAGCAGCCAGGGAGAUGCUUUGGCAACAUCAAUCAGACCACCUCGGUGCUCCUCUCCUGGAAGCCCCACAGCAGCUCCCGUCUCACUCUGAGCAAAAGCCACUGUCUUUACAAGGACUGCCUGCUCUGGCCCCGUAUCCCUCACCCCUACCACUGUCCCUCUUGCUUCUGCUGCAGCCACACUGGCCUCCUUGCUGAUCCUCAAACAUAUCAGGUGCAUUCCCAUGGCAGGGCCUUUGCAUUGAUUGUCCCCACUGCCGGAAGCGUCUUUCCCCAGGUCGCUGAACGGCUCACUCCCUCGUUUCCUCCAGAUCUUUGCUCUAGUUUCGCCUGUGCAGUGGGGAUCCUUGCA
rnacentral:lncRNA from 10 species